UACAGAGGGGGCAAGCGUUAUUCGGAAUUAUUGGGCGUAAAGGGCGCGUAGGCGGCUUGGCAAGUGGAAGGUGAAAUCCCUCGGCUUAACCGAGGAACUGCCCUCCAAACUGCUUUGCUUGAGGCCGGGAGAGGCGAGUGGAAUUCUUGGUGUAGCGGUGAAAUGCGUAGAUAUCAAGAGGAACACCUGCGGCGAAGGCGGGUUGCUGGGCCGACACUGACGCUGAAGCGCGAAAGCCAGGGGAGCGAACAGG
rnacentral:rRNA from 1 species